rnacentral:rRNA from 1 species
AAAUUGAAGAGUUUGAUCAUGGCUCAGAUUGAACGCUGGCGGCAGGCCUAACACAUGCAAGUCGAGCGGUAGCACAGAGAGCUUGCUCUCGGGUGACGAGCGGCGGACGGGUGAGUAAUGUCUGGGAAACUGCCUGAUGGAGGGGGAUAACUACUGGAAACGGUAGCUAAUACCGCAUAAUGUCGCAAGACCAAAGUGGGGGACCUUCGGGCCUCAUGCCAUCAGAUGUGCCCAGAUGGGAUUAG